rnacentral:rRNA from 1 species
AUACGGAGGGUGCAAGCGUUAUUCGGAAUCACUGGGCGUAAAGGGUGCGUAGGCGGGUUGGCAAGUCAGAUGUGAAAUCCUACAGCUUAACUGUAGAACUGCAUUUGAAACUGCUAACCUAGAGUAUGGGAGGGGGAGAUGGAAUUAGUGGUGUAGGGGUAAAAUCCGUAGAUAUCACUAGGAAUACCGAAAGCGAAGGCGAUCUCCUGGAACAUAACUGACGCUAAGGCGUGAAAGCGUGGGGAGCAAACAGGAUUAGAAACCCUAGUAGUCC